rnacentral:rRNA from 1 species
AAAGUGUGGGUAGCAAACAGGAUUAGAUACCCUGGUAGUCCACACCCUAAACGAUGAGUACUAGACGUUGAGCCUUUUAAGGCCCAGUGUCUGAGCUAACGCAUUAAGUACUCCACCUGGGAAGUACGAUCGCAAGGUUGAAACUCAAAGGAAUUGACGGGGGCCCGCACAAGCAGUGGAGCAUGUGGUUUAAUUCGAUGCAACGCGAAGAACCUUACCUAGGCUUGAAACGCAAGUUAAAACUGAUGAAAGUCAGUGUGCCGCAAGGCGAACUUGUACAGGUGCUGCAUGGCUGUCGUCAGCUCGUGCCGUGAGGUGUUGGUUAAGUCCAGCAACGAGCGCAACCCUUAUCAUUAGUUGCCAACACUUCGGGUGGGAACUCUAAUGAGACUGCCUGGGUUAACCAGGAGGAAGGUGAGGAUGACGUCAAGUCAGCAUGGCCCUUAUGUCUGGGGCGACACACGUGCUACAAUGGCCAGCACAGAAGGCAGCAAAGCCGUAAGGUGGAGCAAAUCCCUAGAGCUGGUCUCAGUCCAGAUUGUAGUCUGCAACUCGACUACAUGAAGUUGGAAUUGCUAGUAAUGGCGCGUCAGCCAUAGCGCCGUGAUACGUUCCCG